rnacentral:rRNA from 1 species
UACGGAGGAUGCAAGCGUUAUCCGGAAUGAUUGGGCGUAAAGGGUCCGCAGGUGGCAGUGUAAGUCUGCUGUCAAAGAAUGAGGCUUAACCUUAUCAAGGCAGUGGAAACUACACAGCUAGAGUACGGUCGGGGUAGAAGGAAUUCCUGGUGUAGCGGUGAAAUGCGUAGAGAUCGGCAGGAACACCCAGGGGGAAACCAGUCGACUGGGCAUCUACUGACGCUGAGGUGCGAGAGCGUGGGGAGCGAACCGG